rnacentral:rRNA from 1 species
AGCGAACGCUGGCGGCAUGCUUAACACAUGCCAGUCGAGCGGACACUUUCGGGUGUCAGCGGCGGACGGGUGAGUAACGCGUGGGAACAUGCCCUCUUGUUCGGAAUAACUCAGGGAAACUUGAGCUAAUACCGGAGACGCCCUUUUGGGGAAAGGCUUGCUGCCGGAGGAUCGGCUCGCGUCUGAUUAGCUGGUUGGUGAGGUAACGGCUCACCAAGGCGGCGAGCCGUAGCUGGUCUGAGAGGAUGAUCAGCCACACUGGGACAGGGACACGGCCCAGACUCCUACGGGAGGCAGCAGUGGGGAAUAUUGGACCAUGGGCGCAAGCCUGAUCCAGCCAGGCCGGGAGAGUGAUGAAGGCGUUAGGGUUGUAAAGCGCUUUUAUCCGGGACGAUAAGGCCGGUACCGGAGGAAUAAGCCCCGGUAACCUUCGU